GCCCUUGCUCUCAUCUUUUGUUCAAGACCUCCGAACUGCUAAAGCUUUUCUCCUCUAAAGCUCCAUAGACGGUCAUGCUGCCAGCCACUAAAUCUACAUAAGUUCUUCUCCUCAGGCGCGCACAAGCACCCACACACUUCUCUCAGGUGUGAGUUUGUAGUCUUCACUCUUCUUUCUCUUUAGAUUAGGACAUUUGACGACUCUCACCAAUGGAAAUUGGGCUAUGCGCAUAGGUAUAUAUGUAUAUCUGUUAUAUAUAUAUUGGGAUUGAGAAAAAUGUGAGAAAUUUGGUUUUAUCUUAUCGUUUUGAACAGAUUUGUGCUUGUCAGGCAUUUCAGUAUUCUCUUCUUUCUCUUCAAAGUAGAUUUGCCUUCCUUACAUUGGUUGCCUGUAUUUUUAUAUGUGUACACCAUGAAUUAUUUACAAGAAUUUGUGGAACAGGGGAUAUCUCAUUGACUUCACCUCUGCUAGCCACUUUAUUCCCAAUAGCUUAUUCUCUAGAACCAGAGCCCUUCUUAGAGGACUGCCACCAUUUAUUUCCACUCUAGUACUAACUCUUUAAACCAUUUUAAGAACUUUUAUUUUUGGAGGAUUUUUGUUAUUUUAUUUUACGUCAUUAAGCAGAGCAAAGCAAGAAGAAGAUUAAGGAUAUCUUUGGCAGAUGAUUAAUGUAUUUGAUUCAGCCCAACAAAUCGUGAAUCCUGUAGCAUAAAGUCAUCUUUGUGUUGGUUACAAUGUCCAGCUUCCCAAGCUCACUUUGAUGUGUUAAUUUAUAUGUUGAAUUAUUUUUAUAUUAGAGAGAUUGAUUAAAGCUGUUCUUCUGAGCUGACAUUGAUUUCAAAAUUGGAUAAUAAUAAUAAGUUUAAAAGUAUAUAGGGAUUCUCUAGUAAGCCACUACAUAUAAAUUGUAACACAAAGAAACAAAUUGUUAUUUUCGAUGGGAAUGAAUGAUAUUUUGUAUAAAAUAACACGUUGAGAUAUUAGAAUCUUUUAAUUUCAAUUACACUAGUACAGACAGAAAUAGAUAUGGUGUGUUAUUCAAUCAAAUUCCAAUGGCAUAGCCUUUUU